AGUGAACGCUGGCGGUAGGCCUAACACAUGCAAGUCGAACGGCAGCACAGUAAGAGCUUGCUCUUACGGGUGGCGAGUGGCGGACGGGUGAGGAAUACAUCGGAAUCUACUUUUUCGUGGGGGAUAACGUAGGGAAACUUACGCUAAUACCGCAUACGACCUACGGGUGAAAGCAGGGGAUCUUCGGACCUUGCGCGAUUGAAUGAGCCGAUGUCGGAUUAGCUAGUUGGCGGGGUAAAGGCCCACCAAGGCGACAAUCCGUAGCUGGUCUGAGAGGAUGACCAGCCACACUGGAACUGAGACACGGUCCAGACUCCUACGGGAGGCAGCAGCGGGGAAUAUUGGACAAUGGGCGCAAGCCUGAUCCAGCCAUACCGCGUGGGUGAAGAAGGCCUUCGGGUUGUAAAGCACUUUUGUUGGGAAAGAAAAGCAGCAGGUUAAUACCCCGCUGUUCUGACGGUACCCAAAGAAUAAGCACCGGCUAACUUCGUG
rnacentral:rRNA from 1 species